rnacentral:rRNA from 1 species
GACAGAGGAUGCAAGCGUUAUCCGGAAUGAUUGGGCGUAAAGCGUCUGUAGGUGGCUUUUUAAGUCUGCCGUCAAAUCCCAGGGCUUAACCCUGGACAGGCGGUGGAAACUACCAAGCUGGAGUACGGUAGGGGCAGAGGGAAUUUCCGGUGGAGCGGUGAAAUGCGUAGAGAUCGGGAAGAACACCGGUGGCGAAAGCGCUCUACUGGACCUCAACUGACACUGAGGGACGAAAGCUAGGGGAGCGAAAGGG